rnacentral:rRNA from 1 species
AUUGAACGCUGGCGGCAGGCCUAACACAUGCAAGUCGAACGGCGCUGCGGACGGGUGAGUGAUGACUAGUAAUCUGCCUGUUAGUGGGGUAUCAAUUCCGGAAACGGGCCCUAAUACCGCAUACUAUCAGAGCCGCCUAGGUUGGAUUAGCUAGUUGGUUGGGUAACGGCCUACCAAGGCGACGAUCCGUGACUGGUCUGAGAGGAUGAUCCGUCACACGGGAACUGAGACACGGUCCAGACUCCUACGGGAGGCAGCAGUGGGGAAUAUUGGACAAUGGGCGAAAGCCUGAUCCAGCCAUGCCGCGUGUGUGAAGAAGGUCUUCGGAUUGUAAAGCACUUUAAGUAGGGAGGCGUUACCAACAGAAUAAGCACCGGCUAACUACGUGCCAGCAGCCGCGGUAAUAC